AUACGUAGGGGGCAAGCGUUGUCCGGAAUUAUUGGGCGUAAAGGAUGCGUAGGUGGAUAUUUAAGUGGGAUGUGAAAUCCCCGGGCUCAACCCGGGAACUGCAUUCCAUACUGGAUAUCUAGAGUGCAGGAGAGGAAAGCGGAAUUCCUAGUGUAGCGGUGAAAUGCGUAGAUAUUAGGAAGAAUACCAGUGGCGAAGGCGCCUUUCUGGACUGUAACUGACACUGAGGCUCGAAAGCGUGGGGAGC
rnacentral:rRNA from 1 species